rnacentral:misc_RNA from 1 species
AUCCUACACUAAGCAUGUCAUUAAACACACAAGAUAUGGAUAAAACCUUAUAAUAACCCUAAAAUCUAGGUUAACCAGUUCAAAACCUUAAAAUAUCUUAAAUGUUACAUAUCCAACUCUUGAAUCUUAAUGUACUACUCACUAUCCAUGCUUAAUAUAAGAUAUUCAAAGCAAAAGAAGAAAUAAAACAUGAAAAUAAACUAAA